UAGCUAGUUGGUGGGGUAAGGGCCUACCAAGGCGACGAUCGGUAGCUGGUCUGAGAGGAUGGCCAGCCACACUGGAACUGAGUCACGGUCCAGACUCCUACGGGAGGCAGCAGUGGGGAAUAUUGGACAAUGGGGGCAACCCUGAUCCAGCAAUGCCGCGUGUGUGAAGAAGGCCUGAGGGUUGUAAAGCACUUUCAGUGGGGAGGAGAGUUGAUUGGUUAAGAGCUGGUUAAUUGGACGUUACCCACAGAAGAAGCACCGGCUAACUCCGUGCCAGCAGCAGCGGUAAUACGGAGGGUGCGAGCGUUAAUCGGAAUUACUGGGCGUAAAGGGUGCGUAGGUGGUUUAUUAAGUUAUGUGUAAAAUCCCUGGGCUCAACCUGGGCAGGUCAUAUAAUACUGGUAGACUCGAGUAUGGGAGAGGGUAGUGGAAUUUCCGGUGUAGCGGUGAAAUGCGUAGAGAUCGGAAGGAACACCAGUGGCGAAGGCGGCUACCUGGCCUAAUACUGACACUGAGGCACGAAAGCGUGGGGAGCAAACAGGAUUAGAUACCCUGGUAGUCCACGCUGUAAACGAUGUCAACUAGCUGUUGGUUGUAUGAAUAUAAUUAGUGGCGC
rnacentral:rRNA from 1 species